AACGGGGGGGGGCGAAGCGUUAUUCAUAAUGACUGGGCGUAAAGGAUGCGUAGGUAGUAAUAAUAGCUUUAUUUAAAUUUCAGAGCCCAGCUUUGUUACGGAUAAAGAGCAUUAUUAGUUGUAUAUAGCAGAGAAUAACCGUACUUUUUAGUGGAGAAGUAAAAUUCGUCGAUAUUGAAAAGGACGAACAGCAGGCGAAAAGCAGUUAUUUAGGUUAUAUAGACACUGAGGCAUGAAAAGCAUGGGGAGCAAACGGG
rnacentral:rRNA from 1 species